UUCCACCUCUUCCCAUUUCGAACAGAGCAGUUAAGCUCCCCAGCGCCGAUGGUACUACGUAAGUGGGAGAGUAGGUCGCCGCCAACC
rnacentral:rRNA from 1 species